rnacentral:rRNA from 1 species
GACGAACGCUGGCGGCGUGCCUAAUACAUGCAAGUAGAACGCUGAAGGAGGAGCUUGCUUCUCUGGAUGAGUUGCGAACGGGUGAGUAACGCGUAGGUAACCUGCCUGGUAGCGGGGGAUAACUAUUGGAAACGAUAGCUAAUACCGCAUAAGAGUAGAUGUUGCAUGACAUUUUCUUAAAAGUUGCAAUUGCAUCACUACCAGAUGGACCUGCGUUGUAUUAGCUAGUUGGUGGGGUAACGGCUCACCAAGGCGACGAUACAUAGCCGACCUGAGAGGGUGAUCGGCCACACUGGGACUGAGACACGGCCCAGACUCCUACGGGAGGCAGCAGUAGGGAAGCUUCGGCAAUGGACGGAAGUCUGACCGAGCAACGCCGCGUGAGUGAAGAAGGUUUUCGGAUCGUAAAGCUCUGUUGUAAGAGAAGAACGAGUGUGAGAGUGGAAAGUUCACACUGUGACGGUAUCUUACCAGAAAGGGACGGCUAACUACGUG